rnacentral:lncRNA from 1 species
UUCUUCAAUCUUCUUCAAUCACGCACCGAACCCUUCAAGACUACUACUCAAAUCACGAAACCUGCCAACACAAAAUACUAAACAUAUACUCCUAUACUGACUGAUCCCCCUACUCGAGCUUCUUCAGGUCCUCCUCGAGUUUCUGCUUUACGCUGCUUGGGAAAUAGGCCCCGUAAAACAUCCCUCGAAACUCGUCCCACCUCAUCUGCAGUGCAUCCUAACCUUAAUUCUGCCGCAUCCUCCUUCACCAGGCAUGAGCAUCACCUGCCAAACAGUGUACCGCUAGAUGUACCUGCUCUCGCUCCGGUACAAAGAGAUCCUCAAACAGCUUCUCGAUCGCACUCACCCACGCCUUUACAACCUA